CGCACAUUGCGCCCGCUAGUAUUCUAGCGGGCAUGCCUGUUCGAGCGUCAUUUCAACCCUCAAGCCCCCGCGGCUUGGUGUUGGGGAUCGGCCGCAAGCCUUCACGGGCAAGGCGGCCGGCCCCGAAAUCUAGUGGCGGUCUCGCUGUAGUCCCCCUCUGCGUAGUAACACACCUCGCACUGGAAGCUCGGCCUGACCACGCCGUAAAACCCCCCACUUCUGAAGGUUGACCUCGGAUCAGGUAGGAAUACCCGCUGAACUUAA
rnacentral:misc_RNA from 1 species